CCGACCUCUACGUUGCCCACGAAAGCUAAACGCUCACACGAACGAUUACCGGUGCUUCGUCGGCGCUCGCGUCGCGUGGCCCGGUGUCAGUGAGGAAUGC
rnacentral:misc_RNA from 1 species